AACUCAAUACUAGUUGAGUCGUGACAAGCAUGAUCGUAGCACUGGACUAGACGUGAGAAGAAUAACAAAUUAAAUUUACCUAAAUUUACGGACAUAAAUUAUCGAUUUAUUUGGCGAUAUCGGUAGUCAUUAUAAAUUAGGGGUGUUCAAACAACAUGACGAGUGACACUAUCAUAUCGAGAAAUUCAUUAACAACAGCUUUGUGAUUGUGCAUCCCUUUGUUCGUGAAUUUAAAUUCACCUAGUAAGUCAUCACAAUUGACCUGAGGACAAGCACUCCCGCUAUUUGAACGUACUUGCUUAUUAGGGUGUAGAGGAGUUGAUUUGUAGCACCGAAAAGAGUAAGCAGUGUGGAGAUGCCUUGACCGAACGGUCGUUGCUUCAUUUAUUUGCACUAAAAUUCCCUGGGAUAAUACCGUUGGGUGACGAUGGGAUAAUACGGACUUGGAAUUUGAAAUGGCAGGCAACUCGAAGAAGCGUAGACUGGACAUAGACCCUACCGUGACCCUCGUAACUCCACAAUCCGAUCCCCAUCCCAAUCAGGACCCGGACAUGUUCUGCUGGGGCAGUACCGCUCACGGCGAGCUCGGCCUGGGGGGCAUUGAGGACGAGAAUAUCCUCAUUCCCCGUGAGGUAGACUUCGAUAAAGCCACUCAAGUAAUGCAAAUCUCCUGCGGUGAGAACUACACAAUUCUCAUAACGACCGAAGGUCACCUCUAUUCCUGUGGCAACAACGACUAUGGUCAGCUGGGGCGUCUGAAGUCCCGCAAAAGAUUCCAGGAAAUCCCCUCACUCGACGCCUUCGUCUUCAAGAGAGUCUCCUGUGGGGGCAGUCACAGCCUCGCAAUCAACGAAUGGGGCCAGUUAUUCUGUUGGGGCAGCAAUUCAGACGGACAACUGGGCUUAAACUCCCACGUUCCUAUCGAGGAAACACCCCGGAUGGUGAAGAGCCUCGGUGCUAAUUUCAUCGUCCAGGUGGCUUGUGGCCUGAAGCACGCCCUGGCGUUGACCAACAACGGAGAACUCUACGCCUGGGGCAGCAACGUAGAGGGUCAACUGGGUCUCGGCACUGACAUCAAGACUGAAUUAAAACCGAAGCUCAUCACUUCUUUGGCAGGGAUUCCCAUAGCCUUCGUAGCGUGCGGUGGUUAUCACUCCCUCAUCGUCUCCAAGUCCGGGGCAAUCUACGCCUGGGGGAGGAAUACCUUCGGCCAACUGGGUAUUCCCGUCCCUGGAAACGUACACUAUCCCCACCAGCUGCGAACUCUGAGAUCAACAAAGGUGAGGUACAUUUCCUGCGGAGAGAACUUCACAGCAUUUCUCACUAUCGACGGUGGAGUCUUCACCUGUGGCGCCGGUAUGUAUGGACAGUUGGGACAUGGAACGAACAGCAACGAAGUUCUCCCUCGGAAGAUAAUGGAGCUAAUGGGGAGUGUUGUCACCCAGAUAACGUGUGGUAGACGCCAUAUGCUGGCGCUGGUACCCUCCAGGGGUCGCGUAUAUGCCUGGGGUCUCGGGGGCGCGGGACAAUUAGGAAUUAAGGGGACCUGCAGUGUUCCCGUUCCGCAGGUAGUUCUCGGUCCUUGGGUUUCCCCCAACGGCACCUCCAUCUAUACCAUUGACGGUCCCAAGAGUGAAUACAGCGUUGACUGCGUCGUAAGACACAUUUACUCGGGGGGUGAUCACUGUUUCGCGACAGUCAACAAAAGGGAGGAGAACGUGAAGCCAGAUGAUUGCAGAUAUUACGACGGUUUCUCGCAGAUCCUGAUGGUCACUGAGGACCACCUCCGGGACUGUCAGAGAGUAGCUGCGGGAGAGAUUCUGGAUCACGACUUGAUGACUUAUUUGGAGACUGUUUUCAGGAGUCAAGCCUGCAUCAAUGCCUCGUUUCUCCUCGAUGACGAUGUGCAUUAUGGAUGCUCGAGCAAGCACUCGGGUGUUGACGUUGAAAAGGCAUCAAGAAUGUUCGGGUUGAUAACAGACAUAGAAAACGUGACUAUUCAGGAGUUGAUCUUCACGUCGAUUGUUGAAGGACUCAUUCCUUCGUUGGUUGCCUCUCCACCAGACGUGGAGACACUCAGGAUUUACGUUGUCCUUCCCCUGUACCAUGGGUUCAUGGAGGUGAAUAAUGGGAGUAGUCUACAGGUGCCUUUUGCUAAGGCCCUGCUGUCACUGAAGGCCGAGGCCCGGAAGGUCGUUGGAAUAUGGUGGACGAAGGCCCCUGUUCAGGUCUUUCAUAGGCUGAUUAGAUCGUACAAGGCAGUGAUUCUUUCCAUGAUUAAGGAUGCCAGAGAAGCUGACAACAGUUCUAUUUGCAAAGAUCGGGCGUUGAAAUGUUGUCUGGAUAUUCUUCAGUUCAUUAAUGAGUUGAAUAAGACGCAGAGCGAAGGAUUGCGCGUUCCUUAUGACAUGUUCUAUAUGCCUGAACUUUCAGAUUUAAUCGCCAUUUCAAUGGACUAUGUUAAAUUUUCCACAAGUCUUGAUCCCUUCGCAAGUGGUAUUUCUUUCUGCCAUUAUCCUUUCUUGUUCGACGCUCAAGCCAAAACCAUUCUCUUGGAGACUGAUCAGGAGAUACAGAAGUACUCAGCGAUGAACGAAGCCGCCCACAGGGCCAUUAGGAACAUCUUUAUUAAUAAUCAUACCGUUACAAUCCAGCAAUUUCUCAUGCUCAAUGUCUCCAGGGAGAAUCUCGUUGCGGAUACACUGAGGGAACUGUCAGCUCAAGAGUCGAGUGAUCUAAAAAAACCUCUGAAGGUCAAGUUCUUUGGAGAAGAAGCUGAGGACGCCGGUGGCGUCAAGAAGGAAUUCUUCAUGCUUCUGCUCAAGGAGAUACUGGAUCCCAAGUAUGGAAUGUUUAAGCAGUAUGAGGAGACCAGAACCAUCUGGUUCCGUGAAGACUCAUUCGAAGGCGAACAGAUGUACUUCUUAAUUGGCAUUCUCUGUGGCCUCGUUAUCUACAAUUUUAUCAUUAUUAAUCUGCCCUUUCCACUGGCCCUUUACAAGAAAUUACUCGAGGAGAAAGUGACUCUGGCUGACCUCAAAGACCUCUCGCCAGUCCUCGCAAGGAGCUUGCAAAGUGUCUUGGAUUAUGAGAAUGCGGAUCUUGAGGAUGUGUUUUGUCUGAAUUUUGAGGUGACACGUGAGUUUUUUGGGGAACAGAGAGUUUAUGAGCUUGUGCCUGGUGGAAGCAAGACUCCAGUGACUUUGGAGAAUAAGAAAGAAUUUGUUGAUCUUUAUGUGGAUUAUAUUUUUAAUAAAUCUGUGGAAUCACAGUUUGCGGCGUUUUACAAGGGAUUCCAUAAGGUGUGUGGGGGACAUGUGCUGAAGCUGUUUUACAGUCAUGAACUGAUGGCCGUUGUCGUUGGAAAUGAAAAUUAUGACUGGAAGGAGUUGGAGGCGAAUGCUUCGUAUAAGGAAGGCUACUCCAAGGACGAUCCAACGAUCGUCAUGUUCUGGGAGAUUUUUCAUGAACUUCCACUUGAGGAGAAGAAGAAGUUCUUAUUGUUCCUCACAGGGAGUGAUAGGAUACCUAUUCAGGGGAUGAAAGCUAUUAAGAUUACUAUCCAACCAAUGACUGAUGACAAGUAUUUACCAGUUGCCCACACGUGCUUCAACCUUCUGGACUUGCCGCGAUACCAAACGAGGGAAAGACUCAGGUACAAACUACUUCAAGCCAUUCAACAAACCCAAGGAUUCUCACUGGUCUGAUGAUGUCUCCUCGUCAUUCCCAAGAUAUUUUCUUACGAAUCGAUCGCCAGAUGGGAGAUACCGCUUGGAGACCCCUGUGCCUCGGAAUUUCACCACCUGAUGCAAUACGUGCGGAAAAUUCUCGAUAUUCAUCUAGAAUGAAUGGAAAGCCCUGGGUUACAUUGGAAAGGUUUUUCACUUGGCUGGGUUGAGCAUCGUUAUAGAAAAUAUUUUGUCUUCCUGGUGACGAUGAACAAGAGCCAACUCUGAAGUUUACGAUAAUCACUACUCGCAUCUGCACAUGGGCCAAAUAAGCAUUUGUAUUUCAACGCAGAAAUCAGUGAUAAAGGAGAAAUGUUGAGAAAGAAAGAUAAAUUCCUAACUUGUAAGUUGUAAUUGAAUUUUAAUUUUAUCUAAUAAUUUGACUAUUCUAAUUUUAAAGUUUAAUUUCCUCAGUUGUCUCAGAAGUCUAAUAUUUCGGUUUUAUUUUUUAAUAUCAAAUCAUAAAGAAAAUUGGAGACUCGACAAUAGAAUAUUUUUUAUAGAAAAUUAUAUAGAACGUCUAUUGGGAUUCCCAAGUUUAAUGUUCAAUUUUUCACAUCGAGAGGCAAUAAAAAAUCUAGAAAAUU